AUGCUGGCAGUGAGUUGGAAUCAGUUAAAAUCGUUACGUUCUCGUUGUCUCUUGCCCACAGCCCUGCUUUGUGUUGUCCUAAUUCAAGUUGCGCCGCCACAAAAUGCUGCUAGUUUAACUGCUGUAAGCUCAACAACAGGAGCACACAGGCGGCCGCUGCAGCUAAGCUCACAUGGAACAUAUGCCCUGUUGCAGCCUCACAGCUGCUGGCACGAGAUGUAUGUGGCGGGGGGUACUUCUGGUGCAGUAAUACCAUUUUGGAGUGCCCCGUGUUUGCAACUAUCCUUAUGUGCAGCCCUUGCUAACAAGGCAUCAGAGAAAAUUAAAGGGACAAACAAAGUGCUGAAAAUAAAAGUAUCCACUUGGAUAUGGUUUUUUGUACUGCUCUAA
rnacentral:rRNA from 1 species